rnacentral:rRNA from 1 species
GGAUAACUUACCCUUUAGGACUGGGAUAACUCUGGGAAACUGGGGAUAAUACUGGAUAUUAGGCUAUGCCUGGAAUGGUUUGCCUUUGAAAUGUUUUUUUUCGCCUAAGGAUAGGUCUGCGGCUGAUUAGGUCGUUGGUGGGGUAAUGGCCCACCAAGCCGAUGAUCGGUACGGGUUGUGAGAGCAAGGGCCCGGAGAUGGAACCUGAGACAAGGUUCCAGACCCUACGGGGUGCAGCAGGCGCGAAACCUCCGCAAUGUACGAAAGUGCGACGGGGGGAUCCCAAGUGUUAUGCUUUUUUGUAUGACUUUUCAUUAGUGUAAAAAGCUUUUAGAAUAAGAGCUGGGCAAGACCGGUGCCAGCCGCCGCGGUAACACCGGCAGCUCGAGUGGUAGCUGUUUUUAUUGGGCCUAAAGCGUUCGUAGCCGGUUUGAUAAGUCUUUGGUGAAAGCUUGUAGCUUAACUAUAAGAAUUGCUGGAGAUACUAUUAGACUUGAAGUCGGGAGAGGUUAGAGGUACUACCGGGGUAGGGGUGAAAUCCUAUAAUCCUGGGAGGACCACCUGUGGCGAAGGCGUCUAACUGGAACGAUCUUGACGGUGAGUAACGAAAGCCAGGGGCGCGAACCGGAUUAGAUACCCGGGUAGUCCUGGCCGUAAACGAUGUGGACUUGGUGUUGGAAUGGCUUUGAGUUGUUCCGGUGCCGAAGGGAAGCUGUUAAGUCCACCGCCUGGGAAGUACGGUCGCAAGACUGAAACUUA